rnacentral:rRNA from 1 species
AUUGAACGCUGGCGGCAGGCUUAACACAUGCAAGUCGAGCGGAGAGAGGUAGCUUGCUACUGAUCUUAGCGGCGGACGGGUGAGUAAUGCUUAGGAAUCUGCCUAUUAGUGGGAGACAACAUUUCGAAAGGAAUGCUAAUACCGCAUACGUCCUACGGGAGAAAGCAGGGGAUCUUCGGACCUUGCGCUAAUAGAUGAGCCUAAGUCGGAUUAGCUAGUUAGUGGGGUAAAGGCCUACCAAGGCGACGAUCUGUAGCGGGUCUGAGAGGAUGAUCCGCCACACUGGGACUGAGACACGGCCCAGACUCCUACGGGAGGCAGCAGUGGGGAAUAUUGGACAAUGGGCGCAAGCCUGAUCCAGCCAUGCCGCGUGUGUGAAGAAGGCCUUAUGGUUGUAAAGCACUUUAAGCGAGGAGGAGGCUACUUUAGAUAAUACCUAGAGAUAGUGGACGUUACUCGCAGAAUAAGCACCGGCUAACUCUGUGCCAGCCGCCGCGGUAACAC